rnacentral:lncRNA from 1 species
CAGGGUCAAAGGCAGAGUAGGGCCAGGGCAGGGUGAUGACACAUCCAGAGCACAGCAGGGCAGGGUGAUGGCAAGACCAGGGGCAGACCACUGCCAGCUCAGGGCCAGGGCAAGGCCAGGGCAGAGACAGGAAAGGGUCUGGGUCAGGGCCAGGACCAAGGCAGAGCAGGGCCAGGGCCAGGACCAUGGCAGAGUCAGGGCAGGUCCUUGACAGGACCAGGUUCCAGGCCAGGGCCAGGGCAGCAGCAGGGGCAGGGCCUGGAUAAGGGCAGAGCAGUACAGGGCCAGAUCCAUGGCAGGGGCAGGGCAAAACCAGGCCCAUUGCCAAUGCACCAGCCUCCCUACAAGGCUCCUACCAGCUGACCACUGCUGCAGCCCAGCCAUCGCUGUAAGCCUGACCCCCAACCCUGGCUGCAGCCACCUGCCCUCCUAGCGCAGCCGC